UCCAGACCGAGAAUGACGCUCCCGGGAUCGGGAUCUUGAUCUAUGCUUCUUGCGACGCUGCCCACACAGCUCCCGCCGCAGCUCUCUGGAAAUGGGCUUCAAAUGCAUGAAGUUGCAGAAGCCGCCUCGUGUGCAUUCUCCCAUCUCAUACUGACGGCAGCAGGCUCCCCUGAAGUCCGUCACAGGUGACAGCUCGGCGUGGAUCGGCUGUCCGUUAAACCAACGGUUGUUCAAGUCAAUCACAGCCUUUUCCGCAUCUUCCUCACGGGGAAGCUUGAAGUACACGUUCCCCACCAGGUGGUCUCCCAGGUUGUCACAGACAUUCAUCUCCUCAACUUCCCCAUACUUCUCCCCCAGUUCUAUAAAAACCUCCUCAAAAAAUUCAUCAGAGUGUUCCUGCACCUCAACAUCGCUCAGGGCACAGCGCAAACCGUCGGCCGACUGGGAAGCGUUUUGAGGGUUACAGUAAAUGUUCAAGAGG
rnacentral:lncRNA from 1 species